rnacentral:rRNA from 1 species
GAGGAAUAUUGGUCAAUGGCCGAAAGGCUGAACCAGCAACGCCGCGUGAGGGAUGAAGGUCUAAGGAUUGUAAACCUCUGUUAGGAGGGACGAAUAGUUCCGUAACGAACUUACGGGAUUUGACGGUACCUCCAGAGAAAGCCCCGGCUAACUCCGUGCCAGCAGCCGCGGUAAUACGGGGGGGGCAAGCGUUGUCCGGAAUUAUUGGGUGUAAAGGGUGCGUAGGCGGAAUGGUAAGUCAGAAGUGCAAUGCUCGUGCUUAACACGGGCGCUGCUUUUGAUACUGCUGUUCUUGAGUGCAGAAAAGGGAAGUAGAAUUCUCGGUGUAGCGGUGAAAUGCGUAGAUAUCGAGAAGAAUACCAGUAGCGAAGGCGGCUUCCUGGUCUGUAACUGACGCUGAGGCACGAAAGUGUGGGUAGCAAAC